rnacentral:rRNA from 1 species
CGUGUAGGCGGCCUUUUAAGUUUCGUGUGAAAACCCCGUUUUCAAGGCGGGAGGUGCACGGGAUACUGGAGGGCUUGAGUGCAGGAGAGGGAAGUGGAAUUCCAAGUGUAGCGGUGAAAUGCGUAGAGAUUUGGAGGAACACCAGUGGCGAAGGCGACUUUCUGGACUGCAACUGACGCUGAGACGCGAAAGCGUGGGGAGCAAACAG